UUUAAAUAAUUGGACAAUUUUCAUUAAUCUUCCUUUUAAAUACAUAUACAUACUAUGAAGUACAAUCAUAUUUACUCUUAAAGGCACAAAACAUAUUUGAGGAUAGAACAAUUCAGGAAGAAAAUAAAUAAACCAUAUAAAAUUUUCCAACUAACAAAUGACUUUAAGAAAUCGGCCAAAUCAGCAGUUCCCUAUCUGAGAGUUAAUGGAAUUUCUUUCCAAGUUGUGAGUAAAUCUAAAUAUAAUCUCUACAGAUUAAAUAUUCAUACAUAGUAUUAUUCUUAAAAGUAUAUUGAAUCUAUUGUGAUUAACAAAAUGUUUUCAUUUAAAAAUAGAUACUGAAUUCAUGGUGGCUUUCUGGCAUGUGUUUUUUUAUCUAUCGAUACAUAAAAAAACAUAUAAGCACUAUUGGGGGAAGUCUGUAAAAUAAUCUCUUACAUUAAAGGGGGUUCUUUUAAAAAGAGAAAAAUUUUAAAAUACUGGACUGAAAGCCUACAUGUAUAGGCCCUGAGCAGCCUCCAUAACAGACUGCAGCCAGAUUGAGCCCUGCACUCUGUCAAGACAGCCAGACAAAAAUUUAUAAAACUUUACAGUUCUUUUAUAUCUUGCCUUUUCCCUCAAGUUAGCAUUUAUUCUGACUGCAGCUGUCAUUUAUUAUGAAAUUACUGCUUUUCUAACUGAAAAACUGAGUACUAGUAGCAUGAUUAGUAGCAUAAUUCUACUUUAGUGAAUUAGUUUCUACAAAACACAAAGUGUUUUAAGUCAUUCAUUAGUUAUUAACAAGAAUCAUUGACAUAAAACAGUAUUGGAUUUUUUAUAUAUAUAAUUAAGGUAUUGAGGAUAAGAGGUAUAGCUCAUUAUUGAAGAGAGCAUUUAGUAUACUGGAGGCAUAUCCACAGUACCCCCCCAAAAAAAAACAGACUGUUAAAUUAACAGACAAACAGAUUGUUAAUAUUCAAAAUAUGAGACUUUGAAUAUGUCUCUUUUUCUAUCAGAUGCUACUCUUUGAAAAAAAAUUGUAUUUAUUCUAUGUUUAGCCACAUAUUAACAAUAAAGGGCUUUUUAGAAAGUUUCAUUUGAAUGAAAAAUAGAUGUCUUCUAAGAUCAUUUUAUUAUGUAUUAUAAAUUAAAUAAUGUCUUAUAAAAUAAUGAAGGACAAAUUUCCAAGCAAACUUUGUGUACCAUAUUUCCCCAUUGUUUUUGUAGGACAGUGACUCUUGUAUUUCUACCCAAAGUCAACAGACUACAAUGCUAUUUAGAUGAAACUAAAGGAAAAAAGAUUCAUAUAUUUGUCCAAGACACUUCAGCUCAAAAAUGGCCAGCAGAGAAGCAAACCAGACAGCCUGACUACAAUUCUCCAGGCUUCAACACAGCACCAAGUUGCUUCAUGCUGUAUAAAUAUUUAAUGCACCUAUAGUGCAGGGUUUGUUAUACACACGCUCUUGUAUAUUUUUUAAUUAAAAUCCACAUUUCCAGAGUUGCUUAUUCUCAGAUUAUUUUCAAAGAGCUUUUACAGCCCUUUGCUAAUAAUCUUUAUUUUCUUUCCUUAAGAAGGACUUUCUAUGUUAUUUCCCUGUGAAGGAGAAAAUCAUGUGUGUCAAACUUUCGGCUUGCAUCUCCAAAGCAUUCACUAAUCUUCAUUUGUCAUUAUUCAUUGUGCUUAUAGAAACAUUUUAUUCUAAAAACGUCACAUCGGGAAUGACGUCUAUGAAUUUCAUCCAUAGAAUCAUUUAACAAUCACAAAAAUUUAAAACUGAGCCAGAUAGUAUUUGCUCUUAGGAACCUUACCAAUUCUGAAGCUACUACUUCCUAUUCUUGCCAUACCAUGAGCUAUGCCCUAAUAAUAGAAGAACCUCCCCUCCUGUACAAACCCACACAGUGUUAAUUACACACGUAGCGAUGAUGAAUCAGGAAUGCAGCUAUUUGAAGUACUGCUGUUUCAUGUUUAGCUAACACCUAGUUGUAUUGCCUACACUGAUGUUGUUACACCUUAAGCAACAUUUUACAGUUAAAAUACUAACUUUCAUAAAGCCAAUCAUUCCAUAAACAUUUUAGGCUUGCUCUUUUAACAAACAUUUUAUGUAUCCUGCCACCACAAAGCAGCCAUUUAAAUAAAUAUAUUUAAUCGGAGGAAAUUUGAAUUUAUUGCUAAAUCAUUUGCAUAAUUAUUUUAUGAUUACAUUUGAAUUUAUGUAUUUUUAUAAAUGUUAAUGUUAACAUUCUCAGUAGCAGAAUACUCAGGUGAUAGAUUCUCUAGCAUGAGACUUUCUUGUGUUUCAAUCUCCUCAAAGAUAUAAAAAUUACUUUCUACAUCUAAAUAUCAACAAACAGUACAGAAGAUUACCUAAUGUAUGAAUAUCCUGGAGAUAAAACAUUUAGAAAACCAGUGGAAUGUCACUAAAAUGCCUGAUUUUUUUUUUUUAAUGAUUGAUAGUUUUUCACUUGUUAGCCUUAUCACUAAUGGACAAGUAAAACAUUGCUAAUGAAGGUAAUAAAACAAGAACAACUUAAGUUUUUAUUACUCCUAUUCUGUAUCUGACUUAGAAAAUAGCUCCCAAUAAAAUUCUGCAUUAAUAAGAUUAUACUUUAUUUUAUAACACAUUGUAAGGCAGUAUUUGUGCAAACAGUUAAUAUUUUAUUCAAUGACUGUAUACAUGUUCAUUCUCACCGAUGGCUGCAUUCAGAAAAAUGACUGAUGCCUGGGCCUUACCUUCUGGAGCUUCUGACUCGUUUGAUCUAAGGAGGGUCCCAAGGAAAUGCAUUCUUACAAACUGAAAGCUUAAUGUUUUAACUCAAACAUAGAAAGAGUAUUGAACUAUACCUUUUAAAUCCAAAUUGUAGUCCUGACUCAAAAUAAAUUGUGUCGUGAUC